CAGCAGCCAGAGAGAGCCUUUUAAAGAGCGACCUUGCGGAGGCCUGGUGUGCAGUGGCUGUAAACAGCAGCCUUCUCGGUAGUGCACAUGGUCUGUUGUUUGUCCGCGUUGCCCUAAGGGACCUUGGAGACAGUC
rnacentral:snoRNA from 1 species